GAGUUUGAUCAUGGCUCAGAUUGAACGCUGGCGGCAUGCCUUACACAUGCAAGUCGAACGGCAGCAUGAUCUAGCUUGCUAGAUUGAUGGCGAGUGGCGAACGGGUGAGUAAUACAUCGGAACGUGCCCUGUAGUGGGGGAUAACUAGUCGAAAGAUUAGCUAAUACCGCAUACGACCUGAGGGUGAAAGUGGGGGACCACAAGGCCUCAUGCUAUAGGAGCGGCCGAUGUCUGAUUAGCUAGUUGGUGGGGUAAAGGCCCACCAAGGCGACGAUCAGUAGCUGGUCUGAGAGGACGAUCAGCCACACUGGGACUGAGACACGGCCCAGACUCCUACGGGAGGCAGCAGUGGGGAGUUUUGGACAAUGGGCGAAAGCCUGAUCCAGCAAUGCCGCGUGUGUGAAGAAGG
rnacentral:rRNA from 1 species